rnacentral:rRNA from 1 species
CGCCCAUUAGCUAGCCCUUCCCCAAAAAUCAACAAACCCUCAUCAAUAACCCCUAAUGCACUUGCAUAGAACCAAACAAAUCAUUUUUCCCCCUUAGUAUGGGCGACAGAAAAGGAA